AUGCCGGUGCAAGAAGAAGAACAUGAGGACGGCUCCGGUGACCCAAUGCCGGUGCAAGAAGGAGACCGUGAUGACGCCUCCGGUGACCGAACCGAGUCCGGCCAGCCCUCCGGAUCGAGCACAACUUCGGUAAAGAGGCGUGGCCCAAAGAAAAAGUUGAGCUCGGAUGAAAGGUUUGAGAUCAUAGCAAUCGCGCCCGACGGCCAACCGAUUGAACCCAUCCGAACAAAGAACACAUUUGUUGCUCAGUGCGGGGUUCUGGUUAGGGACAAGAUCCCGAUCAGCAUCCAACAAUGGUUUUAG
rnacentral:rRNA from 1 species